GAUGAACGCUGGCGGCGUGCUUAACACAUGCAAGUCGAACGGAAAGGCUCCUGCUUGCAGGGGUACUCGAGUGGCGAACGGGUGAGUAACACGUGGGUGAUCUGCCCAGCACUUCGGGAUAAGCCUGGGAAACUGGGUCUAAUACCGGAUAGGACGAUGGUUUGGAUGCCAUUGUGGAAAGUUUUUUCGGUGUGGGAUGAGCUCGCGGCCUAUCAGCUUGUUGGUGGGGUAAUGGCCUACCAAGGCGUCGACGGGUAGCCGGCCUGAGAGGGUGUACGGCCACAUUGGGACUGAGAUACGGCCCAGACUCCUACGGGAGGCAGCAGUGGAGAAUAUUGCACAAUGGGCGCAAGCCUGAUGCAGCGACGCCGCGUGGGGGAUGACGGCCUUCGGGUUGUAAACUCCUUUCGCUAGGGACGAAGCGCAAGUGACGGUACCUGGAGAAGAAGCACCGGCUAACUACGU
rnacentral:rRNA from 1 species